rnacentral:rRNA from 1 species
AUUGAACGCUGGCGGCAUGCCUUACACAUGCAAGUCGAACGGCAGCACGGGUGCUUGCACCUGGUGGCGAGUGGCGAACGGGUGAGUAAUACAUCGGAACGUACCUUAUCGUGGGGGAUAACGCAGCGAAAGCUGUGCUAAUACCGCAUACGCCCUGAGGGGGAAAGCGGGGGAUCGAAAGACCUCGCGCGAUUAGAGCGGCCGAUGCCUGAUUAGCUUGUUGGUGGGGUAAAAGCCCACCAAGGCGACGAUAAGUAGCUGGUCUGAGAGGACGAUCAGCCACACUGGGACUGAGACACGGCCCAGACUCCUACGGGAGGCAGCAGUGGGGAAUUUUGGACAAUGGGGGCAACCCUGAUCCAGCAAUGCCGCGUGAGUGAAGAAGGCCUUCGGGUUGUAAAGCUCUUUGUCAGGGAAGAAACACCGGCUCUAACACAGUCCGGGAAUGACGGUACCUGAAGAAUAAGCACCGGCUAACUACGUGCCAGCCGCCGCGGUAA